rnacentral:lncRNA from 1 species
AGUGUGUGGUCUGCUCACAUCUACUCAGUGUGUGGUCUGCCCAGGUCUCCUCAGUGUGUGUGGUCUGCCCAGAUCUACCUCAGUGUGUGGUCUGACUACUAGAGGUUGACACGGGAGGGAAAAUUCAGUCCUUCUCUAUAACCCGGAACUUUCCUGUCCCUUCCUGAGAAAAAUCACUCCCAUCCGUCCUCAUUUUUGCACACACAAUAUGUAGGCUAUUGUCUUUG